UGGAGGAUGCCUAGGCUCUCGGAGGCGAAGAAGGACGUGAUAAGCUGCGAAAAGUUACGGUAAGGCGCAAAUAGCCCUAGACCCGUAAAUAUCCGAAUGGGGCAACCCGGCCAGCAAUGGCCAUACCGCCAAGCGGUAAGCCAACGCGGGGAACUGAAACAUCUAAGUACCCGCAGGAAAAGAAAAUAACAAUGAUUCCGCCAGUAGUGGCGAGCGAACGCGGAACAGCCCAAACCACCCGUGUUACGGCACGAGUGGGGUAGAAGGAUCCACGCUACGGCAAGAAAUAAGUUAGCAGAAUACGAUGGAAAUCGUAGCCAAAGACGGUGACAGCCCGGUACGCGAAAACGGACAGAAGCCCAGUGGACACCUGAGUAACCCAGGACACGAGAAAUCCGGGGCGAAUCAGCGGGGCCCAUCCCGUAAGGCUAAAUACUCCCGAGAGACCGAUAGCGAACCAGUACUGUGAAGGAAAGGUGAAAAGAACCUCGAACAGAGGAGUGAAACAGACCCUGAAACCAUGCGCCUACAAGCGGUCGGAGCAUGUUAAAAUGUGACGGCGUGCCUUUUGCAUAAUGAACCUACGAGUUACUCUCGCUGGCAAGGUUAAGCGAUUCAGUCGCGCAGCCGAAGCGAAAGCAAGUCCGAACAAGGCGUACAGUCAGCGGGAGUAGACGCGAAACCAAGUGAUCUACCCUUGGUCAGGUUGAAGGUUGGGUAACACCAACUGGAGGACCGCACCGAUAAGCGUUGAAAAGCUUACGGAUGAACUGAGGGUAGGAGUGAAAGGCCAAUCAAACUUGGAGAUAGCUCGUACUCCCCGAAAUGCAUUUAGGUGCAGCCUCGAAGUAAAGUGAUAGAGGUAGAGCGACUGAUAAGAUGCGAGGGCUUCACCGCCUAUCAAGUCUUGACAAACUCCGAAUGCGCAUCAGUUCUACCGCAGGAGUGAGGGCAUGGGUGCUAAGGUCCGUGCCCGAGAGGAGAAGAAUCCGGACCACCUGCUAAGGUCCCGAAAUGACAGCUAAGUUAAACUAACGAAGUCUGACUGCUAAGACAGCUAGGAUGUUGGCUUGGAAGCAGCCAUUCAUUUAAAGAGUGCGUAACAGCUCACUAGUCGAGGAAUCGGGCGUGGAUAAUAAUCGGGUAUGAAGUUGUCUGCCGAAGCUAUAGAAUCAGCAAUGAUUGGUAGGGGAGCAUUCCAUUCGGCGUUGAAGGCGUGGCGUGAGCCAUUCUGGAGCGUAUGGAAAAGCAAAUGUAGGUAUAAGUAACGAUAAAGGGGGUGAGAAACCCCCUCGCCGAAAGACUAAGGUUUCCUGAUCAACGCUAAUCGGAUCAGGGUAAGUCGGGUCCUAAGGUUCAGCCGAACGGCGAGACCGAUGGCAGAAACGGUUAAUAUUCCGUUACUACCUUUGAGGGUGACGUGGGGACGCAGGAGUGACACCGCCGCCGGCUGACGGAAUAGCCGGUUAAAGAGUGUAGACGCCGAUUUCCGCAGGCAAAUCCACGGAAAGAGUCGAACUUGACAGUAUGGAACGUCCUUCGGGACAAUCCAAUAGUGCGGGUAAGCAGACUGCCGAGAAAAUCCGCUAAACAUAACUUCAGAGGUACCCGUACCGCAAACGGACACACGUAGUCGGGUUGAAUAUACUAAGGCGCUUGAGUGAUUCACGGUUAAGGAACUAGGCAAACUGACCCUGUAACUUCGGGAUAAAGGGUCCUCGCUUAACGGCGAGGCGCAGAGAAUAGGUCCAGGCAACUGUUUAACAAAAACACAGGGCUGUGCAAAAUUUCAAGAUGAAGUAUACAGCCUGACACCUGCCCGGUGCCGGAAGGUUAAGAGGAGAGCUAAUCGCAAGAGAAGGCUUGAAUUGAAGCCCCGGUAAACGGCGGCCGUAACGAUAACGGUCCUAAGGUAGCGAAAUUCCUUGUCGGGUAAGUUCCGACCUGCACGAA
rnacentral:rRNA from 1 species